rnacentral:rRNA from 1 species
AUGAAGCAUUGUUUAGCAAACAAUGUUUUGGGAAUUUCUUCCCGUAUCGAGCACGUGUUCCCACCCGCAGAUGCUGCCUCCAUGCUUUUCAUUGGCGACACUGCAAUAUCUGAUGCGCCCUGCUUGCUUGGCUGUUUUACUUGCUCGGUUGCUCUAUAUGGGAUCCAUGCCACUCUUUUGCUGUUGCCGGGUGGGGGGCAGCCUGCUCUACAAUACGUUGCUUGUGGCGUGAUUAGUUUUGUUGCUGUUCACUGUUUGUGGAAUGUAGAAGUAAAACAGGGUGACAACAAUCAGCCGAUGAGUGAAGUGUGGGAUUGGAACAUGUAUGGAACCAAACUGAAGUUUCAUGGAUGGUUUAUUAACACUGCCAAUGAGGAUGGUGACGGAGGUGAGGAUGGUGACGGAGGUGAGGAUGAUGCUUCAUUUGCCUCGGAGCAUUCCGAUGAUGAAGAUUUGACGGAGGUGUCAAUUUUACGUGCGGUGCAAGUGUUGGCCAUUCGUGCAAACUUUCGUAUUAGCCGUAUGGACGCCCAUGACUGGUACCAAAGUUUUGUCAUCUAUGUGGCGCUCGAGGGGGAAGUACAAGAGGAAGGAAAGGAUUUGGUACUCGCUGGACCAUGUGGGAUACUACAGGCUUACGGUGCCUUUUGCUUGGAGGUUUUCACAGAAGACCUGGUUUUCACAGAAGACGAUGAGGGGUCUUCUACUGAUGAUGAGGGGUCUUGGGGCGGUCAUUUCCGCCGAGGCUGGGAUGUUACUGAGCCUGAUGAAGUUGAGGAAUUCACACAAACCAUCUAUGGAGGCCUUGGCCGCAAGUUGGAGAUCACAUACUUGGUGAUUCCGGAAGCAGUUGAGACCUAUGUUGAGGUCAGGUUGAACCUCAAAGACUUCGGUUCGAGAAGCCGCUCUGUGUAUGGUAGCGUCAAGGCAAUUGCCAUUGACUAUGGGAGCAAAAGUGUCAAUCUCUUCAGUUUUGAACGAGGCAGUAGCUUGUCCCUGCCCUGUGGUUCCACGUGCAUUCUUCCACUGGGACCACACAUGAUUGCAUUGCCUUAUGAUAGCAAGUACAAACUCCACAUAGAGGUGGACCUAAGAGUAAUCACAACCUGUGACAGCCAAGAAGAGGACAAGAAUUUGAAAUUCUGUCUAGACUGCAGCCGUAGAAUUAGGAGUGAAGAAAGUCUAGAGUUACCCCGUAGAAUUAGGACUCAAAAAAGAGAAUUCGAUGGUGAUCAAGUUGAAGUGAAGGUCAUCUGGGUCCUAGAAAAAUUCUUCUAG